GUCCACGCCGUAAACGAUGUCAACUAGCCGUUGGGACUCUUGAAGUCUUAGUGGCGCAGCUAACGCACUAAGUUGACCGCCUGGGGAGUACGGCCGCAAGGUUAAAACUCAAAUGAAUUGACGGGGGCCCGCACAAGCGGUGGAGCAUGUGGUUUAAUUCGACGCAACGCGAAGAACCUUACCUGGCCUUGACAUGCAGAGAACUUUCCAGAGAUGGAUUGGUGCCUUCGGGAACUCUGACACAGGUGCUGCAUGGCC
rnacentral:rRNA from 1 species